AUGCAUUGUUUUUUUUUCCCCCUUAGAGCACAAUGCCAUUCCACACAGCACUCUCUGUGUUUCCCUCCUUUAUGUUCAGUAGCCUCUGCCCAGGAACACCGAGAACAUUCCAGCACGUCCAAAUACCCAGAGUUAACCCCUCCGUGCACAGCGGGACUGAAGUGGCUUUGCUGGGAACUGAGUUCUACAAAUGUUUCCUUUGCAUCUGGGAAGGAGUACGUCUCCCAUAUGGCUUCAGGAUACUUUGCAGUGUGCUUAGCUAAAGCAAUAUGGACCCCAACAGGGGGAGGAGAGCAGCCAUUUUCUCUUUACAUCCAAAGCUCUCUCACUUGUACCUUAGAAUUCCUUGUGGCAGGAGGACAAAGCACAAGACAAGAAUCAUGCUAAAUAUCUGAAGAUAUGGGCAUUAAAUUUCCCUGAGAAACUGGCUAUUUGGAUGGCAAACUAGCACUGAGGCCUCUCGCCAGACUCUCAGAACAUGCCAUCUUCUCCUGCAGCCUUGUUCUCUUCACCUUUCAGAACUUAAACUACCAGAGUCCACCUCAUUCUCUGCUGUGUACUGCUGCUGAAGGAGUUUGCUUCUCCAGCCCUUCCAACACACGUGGAACCAGUUCCUUGUAUUACAUCCCCUCUGUCUGAAACACCACUGUGAUGUGCUGAAUGAAGACUUAAGGUGACUUGUGGAAGGAUUGUUGACUCUUGACAGCAUGCUGUUAUCUUGGCCCUAUUUUUAAUCUCCCUGAUCCCCAUUUGUACAAACUUGGAGGCAUAAUGAGCACACCUUAGCUGCAGCACGUGACUGUUACAAAAACAAAGCAAAACAUCAGCUAGGCAAGUAUUUUCCUCUGUUCUGAUUUCUGAAGUUGUCUAUUUAUUAUUAAAUAUUUUGUAUAAUUUUAUCUUGCUCCAAAAUGAAAAAGGAAAGUACAUUUGAUAGUUUAAAUUUUUCUGAAACAGCACAACCAAGUUGAACUAUUUCUCUUCUUUUAGGGUUUCAUGUAGCUCAGGCUGACCUCACACUUGUCAUGUAGUGGAAGCUGACCUUCAACCCCUGAUCUUCAUACCCACACUUCCUGAAUUCUGGGAUUACAGGUAAGCAGCAAUCAAUUUUUUUCUGGAUAGAAUUUACUUUUAGAAGAGUUUUGGAUUCAGAACAAAGACUGU
rnacentral:lncRNA from 1 species